CAUGCACUGCAGGUGACAAGUGUUUAUGAGUAUUUCCAUCUGCGAUUCGGGUCGGUGGCAUUCAGACGUUGUAUCAGUGUUGUGGGAAUGUUGCAGAACAUCUUUUUCAUCGCUGUGGUUUUAUUAUCACCAGCAGUAGCGAUAGAAACAGUUGCUGGUCUCCCAUUGUGGGUGUCGGUGCUGCUUGUAGGAGCUAUUGCAACACUCUACACGGCCAUUGGUGGAAUACGAGGGGUGGUUGUGGUGGAUAUGUUUCAGGCCCUUGUCAUGGCUGCUGGAGUUUAUGCAACUGUCUCUAAGG